ACCGCGCGACGCAGGGGGUGCACCCGCAAAUCAACCGACCCACAAGCUCGCCAAAUGGCCUCCGAUUCCCGUCCCCUUGCUCCUCCUCCCGCCCUUAAAUCCGACGCGCCGCACUCGCUCCCUCCCCGACUCACCCCCGCCGCCCACAGACUACUCCGCGCCCCCGCGAUCGCCUCCCUCGCCUCCGCUGCCCAUGGCGGCAACGACGCCCAGGGUCUCGGCCGUGAUCUUCGACCUCGACGGCACGCUCCUCGACACAGAGAGGGCAACGAGGGACGUCCUGAACGAGUUCCUGGCGGCGUACGGGAAGGUCCCGGACAAGGAGAAGGAGGAGAGGAGGUUGGGGCAGAUGUACAGGGAGUCCACCACCGGGAUCAUCGCCGAUUAUGGGCUACCGCUCACCGUAGAAGAGUACGCUGUGGCGAUAUACCCGUUGUACCUGAAAAGGUGGCAAAAGGCAAAGCCACUCCCUGGAGUCGAGAGGCUUGUCAAGCAUCUUCAUAGGAACGGAGUGCCUCUAGCACUUGCUUCAAAUUCCGUCAGGAGAAACAUCGAUCACAAACUGUUAAAAUUAAAAGAUUGGAAAGACUGUUUUUCUGUGAUUCUUGGUGGAGACCAGGUCCCUCGUGGAAAACCUUCCCCUGACAUAUUUCUGGAGGCCGCAAAAGGACUUGGUGUAAAUCCAUCAUCAUGUUUGGUCAUAGAAGAUUCUCUCGUCGGAGUUCAGGGUGCCAGGGCUUCUGGGGCAAAAGUAGUUGCUGUCCCAUCACUCCAAAGUCAAAGGCAGCACUACUCAAUUGCUGAUUCUAUCCUCUACUCACUGCUGGACUUUCAUCCUGAGUUGUGGGGUCUUCCUCCUUUUGAAGAUCGCAUUCAGGGUGCUUUACCAAUCGAACAAUUAUUCUUGAAUGCCCAGAUAGGCCAUGCAAUUUCAAAGAGUCUUCAUAUGGUAAUAGCAGGUGAUUGUACCUAUGAAUAUGUUCCUGACCAAAUAUCAGGAAUUUUCUUUGGUUGGGCCAAGCCAGAAGCAGGCGGAGUAUCUAGGUCGGUGAUAAGCAUUGGAUGGGACUUUUCGCUGCGGACAGUUGAAAGAGUGAUGGUUUGUAUCUUAGAUUUAGCACAUAUAUUUCCUUGAUUCCUGUUGUAAGAUAACAACGGAGGAGCCCCUGAAGCUGCAGUUAGUUGGGUACAUCCGGAAGCUCCAAAGCACGGAAAAUAUAUCACAAGCAUUGGCCAUAACUGACGAAGAUCAAGCCAUUGCAAGGGAUGCAUUGGACCUCCCAGUUUUCUCUGAACACGCGAAGUUAUAAAAUGGCCUUCUGCUCUCUUGGCAUGAUCUCAGAAGUUAUAUGCUCAGGUUAUUGUUUAAUUAGCAAGCGAAAACGCUGGCAGCAUCUGUUUUCCUUGAAUUACAGCAGUAUAGGAAUCGCUUGCAGAGAAUAGCUGCAGGAACGAAGUUUUAGAUCUUAUUUAAACCGCUCGAAAUUGUAAUUGAAAAUAUUUAUACAGGGAUAGAAUAAACAGGUGUUAGGUAGGGAUUAAGGCCACUGAGGAGAUACGUUAUUGUAACAGGCAGGGAUUGGGAAUACUAUGAGGAGAUACGUUAUACAGGGAGAUAAUUUUUUUCGUUCUGUUCCGCCUAAGCUCAUAAGUACAGGUAGUGAGUAACAAGGCUAUGUAAUGAUUGUUCACGAAGAAAUACAGUUUAAUAUGUCUUCUGAAUUCAAUUAAUCAAUAAAGUGUCCUUACUGUCAGUC